AGCGGCGAACGGGUGAGUAACACGUGAGCAACCUGCCCCUGACUCUGGGAUAAGCGCUGGAAACGGCGUCUAAUACUGGAUAUGUCCCGUCACCGCAUGGUGGGCGGGUGGAAAGAUUUUUCGGUUGGGGAUGGGCUCGCGGCCUAUCAGCUUGUUGGUGAGGUAAUGGCUCACCAAGGCGUCGACGGGUAGCCGGCCUGAGAGGGUGACCGGCCACACUGGGACUGAGACACGGCCCAGACUCCUACGGGAGGCAGCAGUGGGGAAUAUUGCACAAUGGGCGGAAGCCUGAUGCAGCAACGCCGCGUGAGGGAUGACGGCCUUCGGGUUGUAAACCUCUUUUAGCAGGGAAGAAGCGAGAGUGACGGUACCUGCAGAAAAAGCACCGGCUAACUACGUGCCAGCAGCCGCGGUAAUACGUAGGGUGCAAGCGUUAUCCGGAAUUAUUGGGCGUAAAGAGCUCUUAGGCGGUCUGUCGCGUCUGCUGUGAAAUCCCGAGGCUCAACCUCGGGCUUGCAGUGGGUACGGGCAGACUAGAGUGCGGUAGGGGAGAUUGGAAUUCCUGGUGUAGCGGUGGAAUGCGCAGAUAUCAGGAGGAACACCGAUGGCGAAGGCAGAUCUCUGGGCCGUAACUGACGCUGAGGAGCGAAAGGGUGGGGAGCAACAGGCUUAGAUACCCUGUAGUCAACCCGUAAACGUUGGAACUAGU
rnacentral:rRNA from 1 species